AUGAAGCCGCCGAUGCCUGAGGGGAAGGCAGAGCAGGAGGUGGGGGGGGGUCACGGCAGCUCCAGGGCAGCCCGGCCGCGUGUGCAGCAGCCGUGGGCAGCACUCACCCGGCCGGUAGGGUUUGCGCUUCCUCUUCUUGCACUCGUCCGGGUCCUCCAGCCCCUUCCCCGAAUCCGCGUCAGCCCCCACGUCCCGGUCGGGGCUGGCCAGCGCCUCCAGUUUGAUCUCGCACUCCAUGUGCUCGACCCCCACUGCCAAAAGGGGAGCGGCGUUAGCGGGGCCCCCUCAGCAGCCCCCUUUCCCAGCUCACCCCCUCCCCAAAAACACACCUUCAGCCUUGAGCAGCUCAUCGGCGUCCAGGUCGCCGUCCUUCUUGUCAUCGGGGCCCAGGGGGUCUCCCCCCUCCAGCCCCCCCUCCCCGUUCAGGGCGCCCAGGCGUGCCUUGCGCUGCCGCCGCUUGUGCAGGGGCGACAUGGAGAGGUUGCGCAGCACCGCCAUGCCCGUCUCCGUCAGCCACACACCCUCGAAGCGGAAAUACUGGGGCUCUGCGGGGACAGAAACAGGCACUGGGUGCGUGACCGGCACCGGGAAGGUCCCCGGAAAGCCGUCAGCACCGAGCACAGCACCACACGUACCUGGCUCCUUGGCCUUCGUGGAGAUCUCCGAGGGAGGCGCGGGCACUGCAGGGGAAAAGCAGGCGCAGAGGUGAGACCGUGCUGCCCCACAGCCCCCAAAUCUCACGGAGGACCCCAAACCUCACGGGGUCCCCCUCCCCGGGUGCUCACCGGCUGGUUUGACCACGUAGGGCUGGCAGGCGCUGCAGUCGAAGCCUUCAUCUGCUGCCUGCUCCACCUCUUCCUCCGUGAAGAGGCUGUCGCACGCCGCAUGCAGCCACCUACGGAGAGCGGGGACCCGUCACGUGCCCCGGUCCCCCCACAAAACACCAGAUCCACAAAACCCCAAGCUGCCCCCGUCGAUACGUUCCUGAGCAGGGCUGCUACCCCGCGCAGAACUUGA
rnacentral:lncRNA from 1 species